rnacentral:rRNA from 1 species
AUAUACCGCCGUCGUCAGCUCACCCCAUGAGGGACUAAUAGUAAGCAAAAUUGGUACAACCUAAAACGUCAGGUCGAGGUGUAGCGUAUGAGAGGGGAAGAAAUGGGCUACAUUCACUGAAUCAGUGAACCACGGAAGAUGAAAUGAAAUGAGCAUCCUAAGGAGGAUUUAGAAGUAAGGGGGGAAUAGAGAGCCCCCCUGAAACUGGCCCUGAAGCGCGCACACACCGCCCGUCACUCUCCCCGAACAAUAAGACUACAACUAAAUAAAAAGACAGCCACACACAAGGGGAGGCAAGUCGUAACAUGGUAAGUGUACCGGAAGGUGCACUUGGAAUAAAC